rnacentral:rRNA from 1 species
GAUGAACGCUAGCGGCAGGCUUAAUACAUGCAAGUCGAGGGGCAGCAUAAUUGUAGCAAUACAGUUGAUGGCGACCGGCAAACGGGUGCGGAACACGUACAGAACCUUCCUUCGAGCGGGGAAUAGCCCAGAGAAAUUUGGAUUAAUACCCCAUAGUAUUACGGAGUGGCAUCACUUUGUAAUUAAAGAUUUAUCACUUGAAGAUGGCUGUGCGGCUGAUUAGGUAGUUGGCGGGGUAACGGCCCACCAAGCCUGCGAUCAGUAACUGGUGUGAGAGCACGACCAGUCACACGGGCACUGAGACACGGGCCAGACUCCUACGGGAGGCAGCAGUAAGGAAUAUUGGUCAAUGGACGAAAGUCUGAACCAGCCAUGCCGCGUGAAGGAUGAAGGUCCUCUGGAUUGUAAACUUCUUUUAUAUGGGACGAAAAAAGGCUUUUCUAAGUCGUCUGACGGUACCAUAUGAAUAAGCACCGGCUAACUCCGUGCCAGCAGCCGCCGUAAUAC